rnacentral:lncRNA from 1 species
ACCUCACACCGCUCAGGAAGACAAAGCCACACCUCACACCGCUCAGGAAGACAAAGCCACACCUCACACCGCUCAGGAAGACAAAGCCACACCUCACACCGUUCGGGAGACAAAGCCACAGCUCACACUGCUCAGGAAGACAAUUUUAUGUAUUUUUUUUUCUCUUUCACAAUCAAGAGUUUUAGAAAAUACACCUCAUUUUUCUUGUGUGCCAACACUUCAAACCCCAAAGAUAUAAGCACUAUAUUUUCUUAUUAUCCCGUAAAAGAAGAUGCAGCAACUCCCCAGAGCACGGCAGGACGCCCCCAUUUCCCGGCUGCAUCUCCCACCACCAGUUCUGUGGCUUGGUGAUGGGCUCAGAGCCUGCCUAUCUGCAACUUGCUGCCCGCUCCUGACGCUGGCCCUGCUCAAUGCUCUCAGCCACAACAGACGUCCCAAGGUCUCAAACUGAGCACAAAAACUCCCUCACAGCUGGCAUUUAAAUAUCCAUAAUGCAAACUCGGGUACACGCAAACCUCCUUUUUC